rnacentral:rRNA from 1 species
GUAUAAGAGACAGCAGCCGCCGCGGUAAUACAGAGGGUGCGAGCGUUAAUCGGAUUUACUGGGCGUAAAGCGUGCGUAGGCGGCUAAUUGAGUCGGAUGUGAAAUCCCUGAGCUUAACUUAGGAAUUGCAUUCGAUACUGGGAAGCUAGAGUAUGGGAGAGGAUGGUAGAAUUCCAGGUGUAGCGGUGAAAUGCGUAGAGAUCUGGAGGAAUACCGAUGGCGAAGGCAGCCAUCUGGCCUAAUACUGACGCUGAGGUACGAAAGCAUGGGGAGCAAACAGGAUUAGAUACCCGUGUAGUCCCUGUCUCUUAUAC